UCUCAGCUUAUGAUCCACAACUAUUGCUGGCAACUAGACCAGAACAGCAACUCCUUCUUACUAUUUGAGAAAUUGUUUGGUAGAGUUUACAGAUUCCUGAUUCCUCUUUUUAUCAUUCUUUGUUCGUGCUAUUGCUAUAAUUGAGAUCAUCAAAGAUAAUGAAUCAGUAAAUCCUACCAUGAAGAGGUGGGGCUGCUUCUAAACAUAGUGUUUCACUCUGAAACAUGAUUAUUAAGCAUCAACACCAGUGUUAAUACUACUACACAAAUGUUAUCAAGAUGGAAUGUAGAAGAAUUAGAAUAGAAAAAAAACCCCAAAAAUUAUACAAGAUUGUUUAGUCCCAUAGUCAUUUUUUUUUUCUGGAAAUUUCCAUUUUCCUCCAUCAUCCACAGAAAUGUUACAAAGCUCCACCACAAAUCUGAAGUAUCAAUAAAAAUCUAGAUGUUUCUUUGGAACUCUGUGGAAGAAAAAA